UACGUAGGGGGCAAGCGUUGUCCGGAAUUAUUGGGCGUAAAGAGCGUGUAGGCGGCCAGGUAGGUCUGCUGUGAAAACUCGAGGCUCAACCUCGAGACGUCGGCGGAAACCAUCUGGCUAGAGUCCGGAAGAGGAGAGUGGAAUUCCUGGUGUAGCGGUGAAAUUCGUAGAUAUUCGGAAGAACACCAGUGGCGAAGGCGGCAUCCUGGACCGAGAUUGACGCUGAGGCGCGAAAGCUAGGGGAGCAAACGGGG
rnacentral:rRNA from 1 species